AUACGGAAGGUCCGGGCGUUAUCCGGAUUUAUUGGGUUUAAAGGGAGCGCAGGCGGAGAUGCAAGCGUGACGUCAAAUUUCGGGGCUCAACCCCGUCUCGCGUCGCGAACUGCGUCCCUUGGUUGCGGGAAGGGGAGGCGGAACUCGUGGUGUAGCGGUGAAAUGCAUAGAUAUCACGAAGAACUCCGAUCGCGAAGGCAGCCAUCCGGCCCGUCAACGACGCUCAUGCUCGAAGGUGCGGGUAUCAAACAGGAGUAGAUUCCCUGGUAGUCCGCACAGUAAACGAUGGUCACCCGCGGUUUGGCCUGUAUGGCUGAGCCGCCAAGCGAAAGCGUUAAGUGUCCCACCUGGGGAGUACGCCGGCAACGGUGAAACUCAAAUGAAUUGACGGGG
rnacentral:rRNA from 1 species